AAUCAAACCCGGAGAUAUCUCGUUCUCCCCGAAAUAGCUUUAGGGCUAGCGUCGCGCGUUCACCGCCGGAGGUAGAGCACCGGAUGGACGAGGGGGCUUCGCCGCCUACCGAAUCCAACCGAACUCCGAAUGCCGGCGGCCCAGAGCGCGGCAGUCAGAGCAUGUGGGCUAAGCUGUGUGCUCGAGAGGGAAACAGCCCGGACCGCCCGCUAAGGUCCCCAAGUUCCAGCCGAGUGGCAAAGGAUGUGCGUCCGCCCAGACAACCAGGAUGUUGGCUUAGAAGCAGCCAUCCAUUCAAAGAGUGCGUAACAGCUCACUGGUCGAGUGGACAUGCGCCGACAAUACACGGGGCUAAGCUGGACACCGAAGCGGCGGGAUUUUAAUUCAUUAGAAUCGGUAGGGGAGCUUCCCAUGGGCGGAGAAGCCGGAGGGCGACCGACGGUGGAGCGCAUGGGAGUGAGAAUGCUGGCAUGAGUAGCGAGAGACGAGAGAGUAACUCGUCCGCCGUGAACCCGAGGUUUCCUGGGCAAGGCUAAUCCUCCCAGGGUCAGUCGGGGGCUAAGGCGAGGCCGGGAGGCGUAGCCGACGCGCAGCAGGCAGACAUUCCUGCACCGCGCACGCGGCGCUACGACCGACGGGGCGACGGAUGGGGGUGGCUCGGCGGGGUUCUGGACGUCCCCGUGAUGGAGCGCGGCCCGCGGACCAGGGAAAUCCGGUCCGCAGAAGGGCGAGGCUCCGGACGAAGCACUUAAGCGAAGCGAGUGAGCCCGAGGUCCCUAGAAAAACCCCUAGGCAGGCGCGUGCGCGCCCGUACCGCAAACCGACACAGGUGGGUGGGUAGAACAUACCGAGGCGAUCGGGUCAACCAUGGUCAAGGAACUCGGCACAAUGGCCCCGUAACUUCGGGAGAAGGGGUGCCCGCGCGUACGUGAACCGGCUCGCCCGGGGAGCGGAGGCGGGCCGCAGUGGAGAGGCCCAAGCGACUGUUUACCAAAAACACAGGACUCUGCAGAAGCCGCAAGGCGACGUAUAGGGUCUGACGCCUGCCCGGUGCCGGAAGGUCACGCGGAGGAGUUAGCCGCAAGGCGAAGCCCCGAAGCCAAGCCCCGGUAAACGGCGGCCGUAACUAUAACGGUCCUAAGGUAGCGAAAUUCCUUGUCGGGUAAGUUCCGACCUGCACGAAAGGCGCAACGACUUGGGCGCUGUCUCGACCAUGGACCCGGUGAAAUUGCACUGGUCGUGAAGAUGCGACUUACCCGCGGAAGGACGGAAAGACCCCGUGAACCUUCACUGCAGCUUGGCAUUGGCCGCUGGUCCCGCGUGUAGAGGAUAGGCAGGAGGCAUCGAUCCGGAGGCGCCAGCCCCCGGGGAGCCGCCCUUGGAAUACUGCCCUCGCGCGACCGGCGUCCUAACCCGAGGCCGUCAACCGGCUCGGGGACCGUGCCAGGCGGGCAGUUUGACUGGGGCGGUCGCCUCCUAAAGGGUAACGGAGGCGCGCGAAGGUCCGCUCGGGACGGUCGGCAACCGUCCUUUUGAAUGCAAGAGUACAAGCGGGCUUGACUGCGAGGCCCACAAGCCGAGCAGGUGCGAAAGCAGGCUCUAGUGAUCCGGCGGCCCCGAGUGGGUGGGCCGUCGCUCAACGGAUAAAAGGUACUCCGGGGAUAACAGGCUGAUCUUGCCCAAGAGUCCACAUCGACGGCAAGGUUUGGCACCUCGAUGUCGGCUCAUCGCAUCCUGGGGCUGUAGCAGGUCCCAAGGGUUGGGCUGUUCGCCCAUUAAAGCGGUACGCGAGCUGGGUUCAGAACGUCGUGAGACAGUUCGGUCCCUAUCCUCCGUGGGCGCAGGAGAAUCGAUGGAGGCUGCCCCCAGUACGAGAGGACCGGGGUGGACGCACCUCCGGUGAACCGGUUGUCGACCAACGGCACGGCCGGGUAGCCGCGUGCGGCGCGGAUAACCGCUGAAGGCAUCUAAGCGGGAAGCCGUUCCAGGGAUUAGUUCUCCUUCCGGUAAGGGCCCAGGUAGACUACCUGGUCGAUAGACGGCAGGUGCAAGGACGGCGACGUCCUCAGCCGAGCCGCACUAAUCGCCCGAGCUCUUCCGGA
rnacentral:rRNA from 1 species